rnacentral:lncRNA from 1 species
CAUAUUUAAUUAUUUUUACAGCACGUUAACAUUCAUUAUUUUAAAAGUUUCAGGAUCACCAAACUAAUCCUACGUGUACCAUCUCUGGUUAAUGCCUUUUGUCUUCAAAUAAAAAUUAGUUUAAUGCUGUAGGACUGGACACGAUCAUUACAUCUCUGCAUGACAUAACCAUAACUUGAGCAAUUGUUUUGGGCCCACUAUAUACAGUUUUACAAGAAGAGGAAUGCUGGUCAUUAUUAGUUGUUCGAAUCGUCCCAAAAAUCUUUUGUUUUGGGAGUUUUUUUUUUUUUCAGAAAUUAGAUUUAUGUAUCAUUUUUUUUAUUUUCUUUAUUUCAGAUAUUAGAAUUUUAUUAUAUUAACACAAUUCAAGUUUUGCCCUUUUAGUAAAUUUGCAUGUUAGGAUUAGAAUAAAGGCAGGUAGAACCCUAAAUGUGAAAUGGUUGCUUAUUAUUAUAAAUUUUCUCAUUGAGAAUUCUGUGAUAAUUUUUUUCCUUUGCUUAGUUUUGCCCCCACACAAUCUCAACUAUAUAUGUCUUUUAAGUAGAUAUCUAAUCAUAUGAAAUAGCAUCUUAAUAUCAAAGUGCGUUAUAGCAUAAAACGGCUGGUGUUACGUUACGUUUAACGUAACGUACGCCACACACAGCAACAAUUGUGGAUCCCACCAUGGAAACUGUUGCUGUGUGUGGAUGUACGUUACGUUCGUUUAACGUAACGGGAUCCCCAUAAAACAUGUAGUAACAAAACAAGUUUAAUUUGAGGCAUCAUUAAUUAUGUACGAGGUAACCACAGAUCAUGACACGGCUUCAAAGGUUACGCAAGGAAGAACAUCAGUACCGUUGACGGUCUGAUUAUAAGAGAAACUUCAACUAUAAAAUCUUCAAUACUCAUUUAAAUAGUCAGAUUUGUGGGGUGAGUGCGUAUUAAUUGAUAUCAAACAGACAUUAUAUCAGGCAUAUAUAUAUAUAUACUCAUAUUGAAUCAGUGAUCAAUGUAAAUAUACUCGUAGCACCCAAAAUCUUUUCUUAGGACUCUCAUCAUAAUCCUCAUGUAUUGUGAUGUUAUUAUUCUCAAUAAAAAAUUUUUUGUUUUAUAUAAGAAGUCUUGAAAUCUAGAAUGCUACUUAUACCAAAACUGAGAGAGGGAUUUUUUUUGCAGGUUAAUUAUUAUAACUAUUUUAUUUGCAAACAAUGAAUUAUGCUCUUGUGAAAAACUGAAGCGAAUAAGGAGAUGAAAAAGGUUUUCUUUCUUUCGGAUAAAUCAACCGUCAAGUGCUCAAAUAAACAAAGAUGAGUAAGACUUAUAAUAGCUGAAUAGAAUUAAUUAUUCAAUCAUUGAAUAAGAGACAUGCAUAAUACAUGGCUCAAUGCCCAUGUCCGUCAUGGGCGUUUUAUUUACUUACUAUAAUUAAACUAUAUAUGGUUGCCAGGCGCCUUAAAUUCAUUUGAUUGUAUAUAUAUCACCAUCCUUAGUAAGCUUUUGCCAUUUCAUGGCUAGAGUGAUGGCUUUUGAUCUUCAUCAUGGUGGUCAUGGUUCUUAUUAUUGAUUUUAUAUACAUGCACACAUUUAGCAAGGAGUUACACACACACACACACGCGCACACAUGACCAUAUUGCAUACGUUUUUGCAUUUUUCUGUUUUCUUUUAAUCGGUCCAUUCUUGUUCUUACACUUUUAUAUAUAUGCAUAUGGAAUAUGCGUUAUUAUUGGGGAAUCGAAAACGUAGAUAUAUAAUACUAUAAUAGAUGGGGAAUCAUGUUGUCUGCCGCAAGAACCAUUGAUCACUUGAGAGAAUCUGACCCUAAAGAAUAUAUUUUGUUUGCAUGACAGCAUGAGGCGAAAAGAAAGAUUAAAGUUGGACGCAGCCUGCCGGUUACGUAAAAGAAAAUUGCAUACUCGUUUAAUUUGCAUCGUGAGAAAAAAAUAUCACAUAUUUUUAGUUAAUUUUUUUAAUAAAAAAUAGUGAUUUUCUUAUUAUUUAUCUAAGUAUUAAUUAAAAUGUUGGAAAUAUAAGUUUUAAUAUUUAAGUCAUGAAUUUACACAUUGAAUAAUAAGUGUGUCGUAUGAGUGUUCAAAAUAAUUAUAUAAUGUUAACUUGUAAAAAAUUAUCUUUAAUAAUAAUUCAUAUGAUGGACAUUUUUAUAACAAAAUUUUAUUAGAAUUAGAGUUUUUAAAAUGUAAAUAAUAUCCACCUAAUUAAAAAGAAGAAAAAAAAAGACUCACUGAAUUUAAUAAACUCUACAAACUCACCAUUAAAACUUGAAAUUUUAAUUCUUACUCAAUAAACCCGACGUAAUGCCCAAUAUCCCACUAAAUUGAAAAUAUUAAUAUAAUUCCCUGAAAUUAAAUCUCUGAAUAACUACUAUCCUAUUUCCUUCAAAUCCUUUCUGUCUAAUAGGAAAGUUUGAUUGAAUUUGACUGAAAAUUUCUUCCUUUUAAUUUUGGCCUAUUAGAAGCUAAUGUCAAUCUAAAUUUCGUCUCGAAUUCAUAAUUUGGUUACAAAUUUAAAAUUACGCCUGUAAGCUAAAUGGUAAAAGUACUCAUUUCUUCAAGUACCAAGAUUUUGACCUAUUUUUUCUUCUUUUUUUUUUCAAAUAAUCACUACUCUACCUACUCACUUCAACGUUUCACAUAAUUUUUAUUUUUAACCGACAUGUUUUUUUUCAAUCCAUUCUAAUUUCUCAGAUAAUACCCUCAUAGACGUCCUAUUUCUAAUUCCGAAUCCAACAAACAAUUGAGUUGAGUUGGUAACGUUGUACGUACAUUUUUUUUUUCAUUAUGUUAUACAGAUUUAUAAUUUACAAAAUUUUAUUUUUUUUGUUAGAUUAGGCUUUAAAAGUUGGGCUUAUAGAAUUUAAAACUUU